rnacentral:lncRNA from 1 species
CACGUAAGACGUGCCUUUGCUCCAUCUUUGCCUUCCACCAUGAUUGUGAGGCCUCCCCAGCCAUGUGGAACUCUGAGUCCAUUAAGCUUCUUUCUUUUAUAAAUUACCCAGUCUUGAGUACGUCUUUAUCAGCCAUGUGAAAAUGGGCUAAUACAACAUACAAUGGAAUAUUAUUCAGCCUUAAAAAGAAAGAAAAUCCUGAUACAUUCUACAACAUGGAUGAUGCUUGAGGACAUUAUGCUAAGUGAAAUAAGCCUGUCAGAACGAGUGCCUCCUCCAUCACCAGGAUUAACGGUUCUUGCCACCCACCCCCAUGCUUACCUCUUAUUUAAGGACAAGGGCUCCUGGUCUUGGUCUUUUGCAGGAAAUUUUUCUCUUCACUGUUGCCUGUUUGCCCCGAGCCGUUUUCAUUAUCCUUUGUUUUCUUUCUCUGUGUUGCUUGUCCUAUCUCUUUCUUAGUUGUCAGCUC